UAGAUCUCAAAUCAGAUAGGAUUACCCGCUGAACUUAAGCAUAUCAAUAAGCGGAGGAAAAGAAACUAACAAGGAUUCCCCUAGUAGCGGCGAGCGAAGCGGGAAGAGCUCAAAUUUGUAAUCUGGCGCUUUCAGCGUCCGAGUUGUAAUCUCUAGAAAUGUUUUCCGCGUUGCACCGCACACAAGUCUGUUGGAAUACAGCGGCACAGUGGUGAGACCCCCGUUCAUGGUGCGGAUGCGCAAUGCUUUGUGAUACAUUUUCGAAGAGUCGAGUUGUUUGGGAAUGCAGCUCAAAUUGGGUGGUAAAUUCCAUCUAAAGCUAAAUAUUGGCGAGAGACCGAUAGCGAACAAGUACCGUGAGGGAAAGAUGAAAAGCACUUUGGAAAGAGAGUUAACAGUACGUGAAAUUGUUGGAAGGGAAACGCUUGAAGUCAGACUUGCUGUUCGGAGUUCAGCCGCAAGGUGUACUCUCCGAGUUGCAGGCCAGCAUCAGUUUUUCGGGGUGGAAAAUCACGGUUUGAAGGUAGCAGUUUCGGCUGUGUUAUAGCUUUCCGUUGGAUACAUCCUGGGGGACUGAGGAACGCAGUGUGCUUUUAG
rnacentral:rRNA from 1 species